rnacentral:rRNA from 1 species
CCUACGGGAGGCAGCAGCCAGGAAUCUUGGGCAAUGGGCGAAAGCCUGACCCAGCAACACCGUGUGGGUGACGAAGGCCUUAGGGUCGUAAAGCCCUGUUGAUAGGGACGAAGGGCGAAGGGUUAAUAGCCCGGAGCUUGACGGUACCUUUCGAGGAAGCCCCGGCUAACUACGUGCCAGCAGCCGCGGUAAUACGUAGGGGGCGAGCGUUGUCCGGAAUUAUUGGGCGUAAAGAGCGUGUAGGCGGUUCGGUAAGUCUGUCGUGAAAUCCUAGGGCUCAACCCUGGACGUGCGAUGGAUACUGCCGGGCUAGAGGGUGGUAGAGGCGAGUGGAAUUCCGAGUGUAGCGGUGAAAUGCGCAGAUAUUCGGAGGAACACCAGUAGCGAAGGCGGCUCGCUGGGCCACACCUGACGCUGAGACGCGAAAGCGUGGGGAGCGAACAGGAUUAGAUACCCUGGUAGUCCACGCCGUAAACGAUGGAUACUGGGUGUGGGCGGAGUCGAAUCUGUCUGUGCCGAAGUUAACGCGUUAAGUAUCCCGCCUGGGGAGUACGGCCGCAAGGCUAAAACUCAGAAGAAUUGACGGGGGGCCCGCACAAGCAGCGGAGCAUGUUCUUUAAUUCGAUGCAACGCGAAGAACCUUAC